UUGAGGACACUGGAGGCAGCGGUUCAUCGAUCUGUUCCCUGAACGCAACAGCGCUGGGAAUCGGUCGAUAAACCUCUGCAUCCAGCGCUUAAACC
rnacentral:pre_miRNA from 1 species